rnacentral:rRNA from 1 species
UACGUAGGGUGCAAGCGUUGUCCGGAAUUAUUGGGCGUAAAGAGCUCGUAGGCGGUCUGUCACGUCGGCUGUGAAAACCCGAGGCUCAACCUCGGGCCUGCAGUCGAUACGGGCGGACUAGAGUUCGGUAGGGGAGACUGGAAUUCCUGGUGUAGCGGUGAAAUGCGCAGAUAUCAGGAGGAACACCGGUGGCGAAGGCGGGUCUCUGGGCCGAAACUGACGCUGAGGAGCGAAAGCGUGGGGAGCGAACAGG